CAAAAGAAAAGAAAAAGAAAACAAAUUGAAUAGAUGGACCAGCAAAGACUGAAAUACAAUUGAAAUUACAUCAGUUUCCCCUAGAAGCAAACUAUGAAGCACUUCAUAAUCCAUCAACUAAGCAGGCGGAGAAACUUGUGUGGUGGAGAAACUUGUGUUCCUGAAGUGUGAGGUUGGCCCAGCUGGGCGGGGCUUAGUGUAACAGCUCCGUUCUCCACUAGAUGGCACUUCUAGCCUACUGCGGUCGAUUGUUGUGUCGCAUCACCAGUGAAUGUGGUUGUUCUCCGGGGUCUGCUGGAACCUUUGCCUGUGGGGUGUCUGCAUAGCCUCUACCAGAUGUCCUCCCAGCAAGGGAACUGCCUCUUCUCUGUGGCCCAAGGACCUCCCGACCUCACUCUGCUCCUGGGGAUUCGCCCUUCCUACCAGAACACCAUCAGAUUCUUACUGAUGUCCUCCACUAUUUUCUCAAGCCAGGUGAGUAUUUAUGAUCAUUACUUUAAAGUCUCUGUCAGGCAUACUAUUUAUCUCCAUUUCCCUUAGUGUCUUGCUGUAAUUUUGUCCCAUUCUUUCACUGGGGACAUAUUCCUCUGUGUCCUCAUUUUCUUUAAUGCCGUGUCUGUUCCUGUACGUUAGGAAAUCCAGUUAUGCCUCCUGCUCUUGAAAGCAGUGCCCUUAUGAAGAAGAGAUUCUGUAGUGCUCUGCGUUGAAGUGUCCUUUGUUCAGUGGAGUCUGACACUUUGUGGGUGUCUCCUAUGUGUGUUGUGUGCCCCCGUACUAUUGUGGCUUAGCUGCUUUUUCUUUCAGUACAGUCGUCAGCAGUUCUCUUUGCUUGUUCUGGGCAGUGUCUGGUCCCUGUAGUGUUAGUGGGCCAAUUUGGGGCUGCCUUGGACUUGAGUUGAGUCAGACGGGCAUUUGUCAGAUAAUGCAGUAGCACCAAAUUGCCAACGUGCUUUCCCUGUGUUGUAACCUGAGAAGUUUUCAUUGGAGGGCACAGAAUGAAGUCAGACCAACUGUCUACCCUGUGUCCUUUGCCAUGAUCAAAGUCUAACUAGUGUGUGUGGUUAUCUUUCUCUCUCCCCAGGGCAGGAAUCACUUUGGAGUGGUGCCAGCCUCUGUUGGGGCUGUUUAUACACUGCCAGGUAUAGUAUGACUUUGGGAUGUCUCCAGCCAAGAGUGUAUUGGAGGAGGUAGAUAGUAACAUUGUGGAGGGGUGUGGCAUGCCGUGUUAGCAGGGUUUGUGAUCCAGUCCUCUGUGAGAGGGGAGCUCAGUGCAGGGACUGUGGCAGGCCUGGGUUUAGUGGGAAGAUCUGCCAAAGCGUGAGGAGGUGUAUCUAGCAGGACACUUGGUGUUAUCAAUUUUGGUAACAAGUGUCAGCACCACACUGGUUUCUACAGGUAGUUGCGUGUUUAUGUUGGGGUGUGGGGGUGAGAAAUGGCACCUGCCAGCUCCUUUGUUCCUGGAGGAGUCUCCCAAUGAUCUUUGUCCCCCUAGGAUAUGCUCUGCGUUUAGUAAGCUACUCUCCCUUCCAUAUGUCCCAGGCAUUUUUCAAACUUCUGCUUCUUAGCUGUACUCUGGGGGGUGCUUCUUGUGCUGUCUCCUUAGGGGCAGGGAUUCAAUUUCCUCUUGUUCUCUCAGCUCUCCUAGAGCUGAGACCACUGAUUUUUUAAAUUACGGUUUUAAGUCCCACUGGUUGUUAAAAGUCAUGAAAUUUGGCCAUUCUGGUUUUCAAAGCCAAAUUUUAUGGAGAGUCAUCUUCCCCGUGUGGGUUCCCUGGUGUGACAGUCUGUUUCCCUUCCCUGACUGCACCUGUGUGUGCCUCUUUCCUGCAGAUAGUCCCACUGGUCUGUUUAACUCCCCCCUGGGUCUCUGCCCUUCCUACACUCAGUGUUGCCUCUUCUUUACAUUUAGUUGUGGAGUUUGUUCUGCCAGUCUUCAGGUCGUUUUCUGGGUUAUUUACACCUGUGUUAUCUAGUUGUAUCUGUGGGAUGAGGGUUGUAUCUUAGGGUCUUUCUAUUUCACCAUCUUCCCAGUUGAACUAGUCCCGUUCAUUGUUGAAAGUGUGUCACUGAAGUCUCCAACUAUUAUUGUUUGCACGUAUUCUCCCUUUCUUUCUUUUCUUUUUUUCUUUAUAUAUUUUAAUAUUCUGUUAUUGGGUAUAUGUAUGUUUAUAUUUUAAAAUUAUCUUCCUGACAAAUUGACCCAAUUAUAAUUAUAAUAUUUUCUUCUUAAUAAUUUUUGUUUUGUUUUGUUUUAAGGUCUAUUUUAUAUUUACAUUUGUAUUCCAGAUUUCCUGUGGUUGCCUAAUAUGUCUUUUUCAUCCUUUCUACUUUCACUCUAUUUGUGUCUUUGUAUCUAAAAUGUUUUUCCUUCAACAACAUAUAGUUGGCUCAUGUUUAUUUAUCCUAUUUUAUUUAGCUUUUAAAUUUUUAUUUAAAUUCUAGACAGUUAACAUAGAGUGCAAUAUUGGUUUCAGGAGUAGAAUUCAGUGAUUGGUCUCUUACAUACAGUACCCAGUGCUCAUCACAACAGUUGCCUUCCUUAUACCUGUCACCUGUCAUCUAGUCUAUCCCACACCCUCCUGCUUCCAUCUACCCUCAGUUUGUUCUCUAUCAUUAAGAGUCUCAUAUGGUUUGUUUCCCUGUCUCUCUUUUCUUUUUCCUUUCUUCCCAACCUUGCCUUAUGUUUAUCUGCUUUUUUCUUAAAUUCCACAUAUGAGAGACAUCAUAUGGUAUUUGUCUUUCUCUGACUGACUUAUUUUGCUUAGCAUAAUACACUGUAACUCCAUCCACAUCAUUGCA